CAGAGGGGGCAAGCGUUGUUCGGAAUUACUGGGCGUAAAGGGCGCGUAGGCGGCCUUCUAAGUCGAACGUGAAAUCCCCGGGCUCAACCCGGGAACUGCGUUCGAGACUGAUUGGCUUGAAUCCGGGAGAGGGAUGCGGAAUUCCAGGUGUAGCGGUGAAAUGCGUAGAUAUCUGGAGGAACACCGGUGGCGAAGGCGGCAUCCUGGACCGGCAUUGACGCUGAGGCGCGAAAGCCAGGGGAGCAAACGGGAUUAGAUACCCCGGUAGUCCUGGCCCUAAACGAUGAGUGCUUGGUGUGGCGGGUAUCGAUCCCUGCCGUGCCGAAGCUAACGCAUUAAGCACUCCGCCUGGGGAUACGGUCGCAAGGCUG
rnacentral:rRNA from 1 species